CCUACGGGUGGCAGCAGUGAGGAAUAUUGGUCAAUGGGCGCGAGUCUGAACCAGCCAAGUAGCGUGAAGGAUGACUGCCCUAUGGGUUGUAAACUUCUUUUAUAAAGGAAUAAAGUGAGGCACGUGUGCCUUUUUGUAUGUACUUUAUGAAUAAGGAUCGGCUAACUCCGUGCCAGCAGCCGCGGUAAUACGGAGGAUCCGAGCGUUAUCCGGAUUUAUUGGGUUUAAAGGGAGCGUAGAUGGGUUGUUAAGUCAGUUGUGAAAUUUUGCGGCUCAACCGUAAAAUUGCAACUGAUACUGGCAGCCUUGAGUACAGUUGAGGUAGGCGGAAUGUGUGGUGUAGCGGUGAAAUGCUUAGAGAUCACGCAGAACUCCGAUUGCGAAGGCAGCUUACUAAGCUGCCACUGACAUUGAGGCUCGAAAGUGUGGGUAUCAAACAGGAUUAGAUACCCUAGUAGUC
rnacentral:rRNA from 1 species